CGCCCUCUUGGCUAAGUGGUAUAGCGUCUCACUAGUAAAAGCUAUGAGAAGAUCAUCAGUUCGAUUCUGAUAGAGGGCAA